rnacentral:piRNA from 1 species
UAGCAGUACAGUCUUGCACGCCUAUUAU